rnacentral:rRNA from 1 species
UACGUAGGGGGCGAGCGUUGUCCGGAAUUACUGGGCGUAAAGAGCGUGUCGGCGGCUUUUUAAGUCAGACGUGAAACCCCUGGGCUUAACCCAGGACCUGCGUUUGAAACUGGAGAGCUUGAGGACCGGAGAGGACUGUGGAAUUCCCAGUGUAGCGGUGAAAUGCGUAGAUAUUGGGAGUAACACCAGUGGCGAAGGCGACUGUCUGGACGGCACCUGACGCUGAGGCGCGAAAGCCAGGGGAGCAAACGGG